ensembl:lncRNA
AGGGGGGAAACUGAAUCGGGGCGCGGGCGGGCGCAGGGAGGCCAAGGCCGCUCCGCCGCGGGCCCGCCCCCGCAUGCCCGGCUGCUGGGGCGCAGCGUGUGUGUGCGUGUCUGUGUGUGUGUGUGUGUGUGUGCAUGUGUCCGUGUGUCUGUGUGGGUGUGCGUGUGUCUGUGUGUGUGGGUGUGUGUCUGUGUGCCUGUGUGCGCCGCCGUGUCAUGUACACACGGCGUGUGCGGGACCCUGCCUGCCUGCCCGCGAACGCGGGAGAGAAGAGCAGCAAUAACAAUCAUCAGUAACUCACAGCAGCAAGGAAGCGCUAUUCCCAGCCCGCCCCGGCCGUACCUGCUCGCAGCGCGCAGGAGGAGCGCUCCAGCCCCCGCCGCUCUUAUAGCGCUCCUUGGUCCCCCGGCAGGGGCGGGCUGCGCGGCCGGGCCCCGCGGGAUCCUCCUCUCCCCGGAGCCGGCGGUGCCGGCUGGCCGAGCAGCAGCGGCUCGGCACCCCUCUUCCGAGAGCUGCAGGGAGGGAAAGGAGCUUUCUUCCCCACUACGGUGGCCCUUGGAGAAGCUGAUUCCCCGAAGACCUGGCUUCUCCCUGCCUUCUUGCUCUGGUGGAGGUGGUCACAGAACUUUGGCCCUGACUUCCAGCACCAGGGAUCCUUCACAGCUCCUGCAGCAGCCCCUUGGUUAUCCAGAUAUCCCGGACCUUCAACAUGCCCUGUCAUCUUUUAUUCCCCGUGCUGUUUAGUCUCAAAAACUUCCAAAGGCAGGAGGCAAACAGUUGGCACCAAAAUUUGCAGAUGGAGUUGUCUGUUGUGCCUGCUAUGGCCACUACAGCUGCCAGGCCUCAAGUCUCAAAGCAGUGGGUACCUUUUUUAUUCCAGGUCUCCUCUUCAGCAUCCCAUGACAUAUUGCCUUUUGACUUGGAGUUGGUGAGCCCCACAGGGAUCAGUGUCAUGAAGUGGCUUCAGUGGCCUUGUGUGUCUCCGCCUGGAAACUCAGGAACACAGGGCAGGCACAGGCUGGCUUGCUGCUGUGUCCCCUCAAACCAGGAUUACUGAGCUGCUCCAAAGAUCGCCUCUUCCCCAUCCAGACUCUGCUUUCCAGCUGGCUUAUGUAGCAGCCCCACUAUUGAAGGGGCACUGCAACCAGUGAUCCCAUAGCACCCAGCAGGGUCUUUUAGGAGGUAGUCCCCACACAGUUCCUCUUAGAUAUUUCAUCUGUUCCUUAUCAUAUGUGGGAACCCAGAAUACCCCUUUGUCUGUCCAGGACAGCCAAGACCCCUGCCAGGGGGCUCAGAAGCCCUGGUACGGAGCCCAAAACACCUGUGGUUUUGAUUAUGACCCAUAGAGCAAAUUACCAACCUUAUACGAAGAUCAGCAAGCCACAACAGUUUAGGUAGAAUAAUAGUGAAGUUAUCACGGGGUGAAAAAGUAGACUUUGGGGUUUCUGGUAUGGGGGUUCAGGAGGCAAGAUGGAGGGAACUGGGCGUGUCCAGCCUUUCUUCCUCUUCAUCUUGGCCUCCAUCUUCUGCUGUGAUGUUGGCAUUUUUAGAUUGGUUUCGAGUAGAAGCUCACUGUCUAACAUAGGUGAUAGGUAUUGGAAAGUAAUUGUAAAUAUCGUAUUUAGUGUUAGUUUAGUUUAGUAUUAUAUAAUUUUAAUUUUUUAGUAUAAAGACAGAACACUGCCCCGGGGGCAGGCAGAGUGCCUGGAACUGUCCUGCUGGACGGACCUCAGCAGGACAGGAGAAAAUUUUUUAUAGAUAAGAUACAAUAAACAACCUCGAGACCAAG